CCUGGGCCAUCUGUCUGCAGUUUCUUCUGCUAGUCUCAUUUGGAGAUUUCAAGAUGGUGUAUAUCUCCUUAAUUGUUUCUUGACAGACAAGUUAAGAAUACCACAGCAGGCUCUGGUCUCCCAGAACAGGCAAAAAUGGUCCUAUAGGCAUUCGUAAUUUAUAGCAUCCUGCACCUCUGAAGAUCUUCAAUACCAACAUCUGUAGGAGCAUAAACAGAAUGAAUCAGUGAAGGUUGGUUAUGUACUGACAUCACCUCCACGGACGGGUCCAGCCAAAGACUUCUGCUUGAGAUGCAUUCCAAGGUUGCAACAAAACCAUUAUCAACAUGUAAAACAGAGAAGAUGUGGCCUUCCUUCUUCUGGGGCUUGCAAAGCUCCCUGGAGGCUCUUCGUGUGGCUUAUAAAAGAAUUCUUCCAAUGGUAUAAGAUUCAAGCAAAAAUGUGAUAUGAGAUUUGCCUCCCUAACCUGACCCUGGAAUGUAGACCCUACAUCACUGGUGACGGUUCAGCGCUGGAAGGAGAUCUGUGUCGCCCCAUCUUUUGCACCACUUGGCAUCCUUUGACCUCCUGUUUCCAGAUCCUUCGGCUGCCGAAGGUCGUUUUGGCUUAUGAAAGCUUUCACAGAAUGCUCUACUUUUGGAGACUGGGGGAAGCUGCAGUUAGAAUAAUGCCAGGUAUUUCCUGAAGCACAUUCUCCUCAGAAACCUUAUAGCAAGGAAGGUACUGCCAGAGAAGAGGAUGUGGGCAUUUCUCGAUGCUGCCUGAGAUACCAUCUUGGUCGUGAAAGCCUCCAACCUGCAACCCCCACAACAGCAGAUGUGUCCUCUCAAGCCUAUCUGUAACUCCUUGGCUGAUCUCACUACACAAAAAGACAAAUCUCCUUUGACAGAGAAGCUGUAUCUUCCUUCUCACCUCUUGAAAGUUGAAGGGAUAAUGAAUGUCGCAUUUCAUCCUAAUUCAUCCUGACAGUCUUACUCAAAUCUUGGAGAUGAAAAUUUCCCAGGCAGCAGGGCUCUGUGCCCCAUGAAAUAUGCUGGGACUUCUGCAAGUUCACAUGAUGUAUCAAAGUGACUCAGCUAAGUGGUUUCCAGGAUCAUUUGCCAUCUUCUGGAUGAAAAUCACAAAUCCCACAUUUAAAAUUGGAGACAUUUUGUGUAAGGCCCAUAAGCAACUCAUAGUGAAUCACUAACUGAUUUUACAUGGGAAAAAGAAAAAAAAAGAGUGAAGAAACUCAAGGUCACUUAGAAAAUAUUCCCGUGCCAACACAGAGAGUAUCACAAAAGGUUUCUCCUAAGGGAGUGCCUUCCUCCAGAGGCGUUUUUUCCCCUGGGCUAUGUAUCUCAUAUGAAAAUGUUCCAGCUGAAUAAGAAGAUGCCAGUUUUAGUAACUAACUAGUUAGUGAGGUCAUUAAAGAUCAAUGAUGUGGUUUGUCUAAGACAAAAUGAAAAAAAUAUUAAUGAACAUAUUAAUAAAG